GAUGAACGCUGGCGGCGUGCCUAAUACAUGCAAGUCGAGCGAACGGACGAGAAGCUUGCUUCUCUGAUGUUAGCGGCGGACGGGUGAGUAACACGUGGAUAACCUACCUAUAAGACUGGGAUAACUUCGGGAAACCGGAGCUAAUACCGGAUAAUAUUUUGAACCGCAUGGUUCAAAAGUGAAAGACGGUCUUGCUGUCACUUAUAGAUGGAUCCGCGCUGCAUUAGCUAGUUGGUAAGGUAACGGCUUACCAAGGCAACGAUGCAUAGCCGACCUGAGAGGGUGAUCGGCCACACUGGAACUGAGACACGGUCCAGACUCCUACGGGAGGCAGCAGUAGGGAAUCUUCCGCAAUGGGCGAAAGCCUGACGGAGCAACGCCGCGUGAGUGAUGAAGGUCUUCGGAUCGUAAAACUCUGUUAUUAGGGAAGAACAUAUGUGUAAGUAACUGUGCACAUCUUGACGGUACCUAAUCAGAAAGCCACGGCUAACUACGUGCCAGCAGCCGCGGUAAUACGUAGGUGGCAAGCGUUAUCCGGAAUUAUUGGGCGUAAAGCGCGCGUAGGCGGUUUUUUAAGUCUGAUGUGAAAGCCCACGGCUCAACCGUGGAGGGUCAUUGGAAACUGGAAAACUUGAGUGCAGAAGAGGAAAGUGGAAUUCCAUGUGUAGCGGUGAAAUGCGCAGAGAUAUGGAGGAACACCAGUGGCGAAGGCGACUUUCUGGUCUGUAACUGACGCUGAUGUGCGAAAGCGUGGGGAUCAAACAGGAUUAGAUACCCUGGUAGUCCACGCCGUAAACGAUGAGUGCUAAGUGUUAGGGGGUUUCCGCCCCUUAGUGCUGCAGCUAACGCAUUAAGCACUCCGCCUGGGGAGUACGACCGCAAGGUUGAAACUCAAAGGAAUUGACGGGGACCCGCACAAGCGGUGGAGCAUGUGGUUUAAUUCGAAGCAACGCGAAGAACCUUACCAAAUCUUGACAUCCUUUGACAACUCUAGAGAUAGAGCCUUCCCCUUCGGGGGGGCAAAGUGACAGGUGGUGCAUGGUUGUCGUCAGCUCGUGUCGUGAGGUGUUGGGUUAAGUCCCGCAACGAGCGCAACCCUUAAGCUUAGUUGCCCUCAUUAAGUUGGGCACUCUAAGUUGACUGCCGGUGACAAACCGGAGGAAGGUGGGGAUGACGUCAAAUCAUCAUGCCCCUUAUGAUUUGGGCUACACACGUGCUACAAUGGACAAUACAAAGGGCAGCGAAACCGCGAGGUCAAGCAAAUCCCAUAAAGUUGUUCUCAGUUCGGAUUGUAGUCUGCAACUCGACUACAUGAAGCUGGAAUCGCUAGUAAUCGUAGAUCAGCAUGCUACGGUGAAUACGUUCCCGGGUCU
rnacentral:rRNA from 1 species